GACGAACGCUGGCGGCGUGCCUAACACAUGCAAGUCGAGCGAGUGAAUCUCCUUCGGGAGUGAAGCUAGCGGCGGACGGGUGAGUAACACGUGGGCAACCUGCCUCAUAGAGGGGAAUAGCCUUCCGAAAGGAAGAUUAAUACCGCAUAAGAUUGUAGCUUCGCAUGAAGUAGCAAUUAAAGGAGCAAUCCGCUAUGAGAUGGGCCCGCGGCGCAUUAGCUAGUUGGUGAGGUAACGGCUCACCAAGGCGACGGUGCGUAGCCGACCUGAGAGGGUGAUCGGCCACAUUGGGACUGAGACACGGCCCAGACUCCUACGGGAGGCAGCAGUGGGGAAUAUUGCACAAUGGGGGAAACCCUGAUGCAGCAACGCCGCGUGAGUGAUGACGGCCUUCGGGUUGUAAAGCUCUGUCUUCAGGGACGAUAAUGACGGUACCUGAGGAGGAAGCCACGGCUAACUACGUGCCAGCAGCAGCCGCAGUAA
rnacentral:rRNA from 1 species